rnacentral:rRNA from 1 species
UGACCUCUGACCUCAAAUCAGGUAGGACUACCCGCUGAACUUAAGCAUAUCAAAG